UUAAAAAGCUCGUAGUUGGAUUUCUGAUUCUUGUCGUUGGUUGGGCGGCCGCGUGUCGCUCGCCUCGCACAGGAGUCAACAUAUGUCACGAGCCAGUGUGAUCUAUUCAUUUAGGUCCGCUGGGUAAUGACUCGUUUACUUUGAGAAAAUUAGAGUGUUCAAAGCAGGCAUUUGCCUUGAAUAUGUUAGCAUGGAAUAAUAGCAUAGGACUUCGGUUCUAUUUGUCGGUUGUUCGAGAACUGGAGUAAUGAUUGAUAGGGACGGUUGGGGGCAUCUGUAUUCUCAAGCGGGAGGUGAAAUUCUUGGACCUUGGGAAGACAAACAGCUGCGAAAGCGUUUGCCUAGGACGUUCUCUUUAAUCAAGAACGAAAGUUGGGGGAUCGAAGACGUUCAGAUACCGUCGUAGUCUCAACUAUAAACUAUGCCAGCUAGGGAUCGGUGGGUCUUUGUCACGAGUCCAUAGGC
rnacentral:rRNA from 1 species